rnacentral:rRNA from 1 species
UUCAUACACUCCGUAAAGAAUGUAUUAGAAUGUCUUGUUAUUGGCCUCAGUGCCUUUAAUCAAAUACAACUUUCAGCAACGGAUCUCUUGGCUCUCGCAUCGAUGAAGAACGCAGCGAAAUGCGAUAAGUAAUGUGAAUUGCAGAAUUCAGUGAAUC